rnacentral:tRNA from 1 species
CAAAAAGUAGCUUAAAAUAAAGCACUUGGCCUACAAUCAAGUAAUAUUAGUAAACUAAUCUUUUUGA